GCUGGCGGCACGCCUAACACAUGCAAGUCGAACGCAGUAGCAAUACUGAGUGGCAAACGGGUGAGUAUAAUGUGGGAAUCUGCCUUUUGGUUUGGAAUAACACGGGGAAACUUGUGCUAAUACCGAAUAAGCCUUUACAGGGAAAGUUUUAAUGCCGAAAGAUGAGCCCGCACUUGAUUAGCUAGUUGGUAAGGUAAAAGCUUACCAAGGCAACGAUCAAUAGCUGUUCUUAGAGGAAGACCAGCCACAUUGGGACUGAGACACGGCCCAGACUCCUACGGGAGGCAGCAGUGGGGAAUCUUGCACAAUGGGGGAAACCCUGAUGCAGCGAUGCCGCGUGAGUGAAGAAGGCCUUUGGGUUGUAAAACUCUUUCGUCGGGGAAGAAAAUGACUGUACCCGAAUAAGAAGGUCCGGCUAACUUCGUGCCAGCAGCCGCGGUAAUACGAAGGGACCUAGCGUAGUUCGGAAUUACUGGGCUUAAAGAGCUCGUAGGUGGUUAAAAAAGUUGAUGGUGAAAUCCCAAGGCUCAACCUUGGAACUGCCAUCAAAACUUUUUAGCUAGAGUGUGAUAGAGGUAAGUGGAAUUUCUAGUGUAGAGGUGAAAUUCGUAGAUAUUAGAAAGAACACCAAAUGCGAAGGCAACUUACUGGGUCACUACUGACACUGAGGAGCGAAAGCAUGGGUAGCGAAGAGGAUUAGAUACCCUCGUAGUCCAUGCCGUAAACGAUGUGUGCUAGACGUUGGAAAUAUAUUUUUCAGUGUCGCAGCGAAAGCAUUAAGCACACCGCCUGGGGAGUACGACCGGCUACUAAUGAUUCG
rnacentral:rRNA from 1 species